rnacentral:rRNA from 1 species
AUGCAAGUCGCACGGACGUAGCAAUACGUUAGUGGCGAACGGGUGAGUAAUGAAUCGCUAAUGUACCCCGGACUCUGGGAUAGCCGGCCGAAAGGUCGGGUAAUACCAGAUGAUAUAACUUUGUCGCAUGACAGAGUUCUCAAAGGUCCGCCGGUCUGGGAGCAGGCGAUUUCGUAUCAGCUAGUUGGUGAGGUAACGGCUCACCAAGGCGACGACGCGUAGCCGGACUGAGAGGUUGGCCGGCCACAUUGGGACUGAGACACUGCCCAGACUCCUACGGGGGGCUGCAGUAACGAAUCUUCCGCAAUGUACGAAAGUAUGACGGAGCGACGCCGCGUGUAGGACGAAGCCCUUCGGGGUGUAAACUACUGUCAGGGGUUAGGAAGUUCUGAUCAACCCCAGAGGAAGGCACGGCUAACUCUGUGCCAGCAGCCGCGGUAAGACAGAGGUGCCAAGCGUUAGGCGGAAUCACUGGGCUUAAAGCGUGUGUAGGUGGAUUUGUAAGUACCUUGUGAAAUCCCAUGGCUCAACCAUGGAACUGCUCGGUAUACUGCGAAUCUUGAGCCACUUAGGGGCUACCGGAACAAAUGGUGGAGCGGUGAAAUGCGUAGAUAUCAUUUGGAACGCCAAUGGUGAAAACAGGUAGCUGGGAGUGUGCUGACACUGAGACACGAAAGCCAGGGGAGCGAACGGGAUUAGAUACCCCGGUAGUCCUGGCCGUAAACGAUGUCCACUAGAUCGUGGUGGCUCUGACGCCAUCAUGGUCGAAGCAAAAGUGCUAAGUGGACCGCCUGGGAAGUACGGUCGCAAGGCUAAAACUCAAAGGAAUUGACGGGGGCUCACACA